UUCUUCAUGUCAAGUUCACCCAAAACAAAGUCAAUUAGCUACAUAUAUGCUUAAGCCCUUUUAUGGAGGAGCAGCUCUGUUGAAUGAGUUUAGUAGUUCAGGAUGCAGGGUUGGGGAUGUUUUAAGGGUUUAUAUUUUGCUAAGAGGUAUUGUCUUUGUGCUGAUCCAAACCCCUAAGUGUUGUGGGAAGGAGCUGAUGUAUUUUGCAGUACAAAUGUUGCGCUGGUCUUGCUUAAUUAAGAAAAUAUAUCAGGCGUGUGCAUAAUUUGUGGUGCUUUCUUGAUCUUGGAAGAGAGGAUACCAUGGAUGGAAGUAUUGAGCAUAGUGGUUGGCUGCUGUGGAGGUAGGUCCAGUGUAAGGUGAAUAGGAGAGGGGUUAAGAAGAGUGGAUGUUUCCAGCAACACAACACUGUGUAAAAUUUCAGUUCCGGUGUGCAGAUGCUGUCUUGUUUAACACUCUGCUGUUUGGUAUUCUGGAAUUGGCUGUGGUGUUUUGCCUAAUUUACUUCAUGCAGUUCUGAAGAUAUUGUUAUUGUGCUUUCCCGAUUGCUAGUGGUUCAGAUUAGCUUAAGGCAUGUGCUGGAAUUUUUGCUGCUGUUUUUAGUAGUCUUUAGGAUGUUUUACUGCAUCAUUCAGCUGGUUUUGUGAGUCUUGUAGGUGUUCUCUGGUGGUCAGAAACCAAAGACUUCUGUUGUAUGGUGUUCUUGACUGUUGUAUAUGGAUUGAAACACCACUCUAUUCUUCAUAAGGUUUAACACUUACCAAUCCAAGCCAAAAGUUAUUUUUUUACAUAAAGGUUAUGUUAGUGAUUCCCAAGGAGGGAAGAUAGAAUAAUGGUCACCUUGAUAGACAAUUUCUC
rnacentral:lncRNA from 1 species